rnacentral:lncRNA from 1 species
GCGCAGUUCCCUGUCGCCGGCUAGCCUUCAGCCGCCGACGUCUCGGCCCCUCAGAAAGCCGGUCGCACCAUGUCUUCGCCUCCCGAGGGAAAGCUAGAGACGAAAGCAGGACACCCGCCCGCCGGUGGAUUUGCUUUCCUUUGAGUCACAUUUCAAUGGCUCUUCUCUACUGGGACAAGAACAAAGGAAGCUUCAGCUUAGAAGUCCUGGACAGUGCUGGGGGGUGUGCAAGGCCGCACCCUGGCUCAGGGCGCUUGUACAGUCUGGGCAGACCCUUCUUGUGCCCCUGCCAGGCUUGCAGCUGGGGGGCUUUCCAGCCUGCUGUGCAGUGUGGGUCCAGAGCAAGCUGGCACCCCAACAUCUGAGGAGAGGCCCGGCUGACCCAGGGAAUAUGUCAUCAAUUGCUUCCUCCACCCCCUUGGCCCCUUGGGCAGGAAGCUGCUCUGAAGAGCUUUCUACAUCAAAGGCACUUUCUUCCUGGCCUUGAACUUGCCCACAGGCUGUCACUUGUGUCUCUGAGGUGCAGUCAUGCUGUUUCCUGGAAGGUUCAAGUGACGAAAGGCCUGUGGGCUGUGAUUAAGGGCGCAGGCUACCGGGGUCAGAACUUGCUGGCUGUGAUUCCAGGGCCCCUGGCUGCCCCUCCUGAGCUGGGGCGGGGAGGGGUUCUGCAUCUCAGGGUUGCUGUAAAGGGAGGGAGCUCACAGCCAGUGCUUAGAACAGUGCCUGGUGUAGGGUGACAUGAAGAGCAGCCAGGUGGAGGGGCUAUCCAGGAUCUGCUAUUCUCCAGAAGCUUCCUUAGGUGGUUAGGCACUAACGACAGGCCUGGAGGUGGUCAGCUGAGCAGGGCAGUGGAGCCUCACAUGGGCAGGCUCUUUGCAGAUGAAAGCUGGUGGGAUGCGAAUUGUGCAGAAACAUCCGCACUCUGGAGAUGCCAAGGAAGAGAAGGACAAGGAUGACCAGGAGUGGGAAAGCCCCAGCCCACCCAAACCGACGGUGUUCAUCUCUGGAGCCAUCGCCCGGGGUGAUAAAGACUUUCCCCCUGCGGCUGCCCAGGUGGCCCACCAGAAGCCCCAUGCCUCCAUAGACAAGCAUCCAUGCCCGAGAACCCAGCACAUCCAGCAGCCUCGCAAGUGAUCGGCGAGCACCCACCACCCACCCUAGCCUCGGUUCCCUGACACUUGGUAUUUCCCAACAAAGAGGACUGGCAUCUUCUUCAAAACACUUCCCCGUGGAGAAAUCCAAGACAAAGCAAAACUCCCCUUCCGUUGCCUUAAAUUUCCACAUCUAACACUAGAAUCAGACCCCAAACCUUGUUUGCAGGGAGUCCUGGCUGGUGUCACUUGAGGGUCCUUGGGCCUCUUACAAGUGCCAUUAGCAGAACUUACCGGACCUGAGUGAAAUGAGCUUGUUCAGAGUUUAGCUUUGUUCCCAUUCAUCGGCUGCCCUGUCAGUGGACUUAAAAACAAGCGGGCACAGAUUUUGGAGGGUUAGAGGAAGGUCAGGGGAAAGCUCAGUCAUUUCAUGCUUUUUGGUAAGAGGACCAUAACGUCUUAACACCUAGUGGACAGAGAAAGAGAUGAAGGCAUUGAUUACAGGAAGGCUGAGCAGGGGAGACUUUUGAAACAGGCAACAGCAUCGCUGUAUUUCCCUCCCUUGUGUGACAAGGGAUCACAGCACAGGAGACACCAAGCACUCACAGAAAGGCCACGGAAAAGCUCACAGCUUUGAAAUGGCUCUUCUUUCCCAGGAGUCAUCUUGCUGAAAAUUUUGCCCAAACCAGAUCUGUCAGUGCGGGUCCCAAGUCCGGCACAGCCCCACCAUCCAUAAUGGGUUUGUAGGAAAUCAAGGAAAACCUUCCUUCUUCAAGCAUCACCUCCAGAGCUGUCUUCAGGUUCUGGCCGUGAUCACUGACCAGGUGACACAUAGCUAGUCUUGGAACCCUAGAGCAAAAGCCGUUAACGUCCGUGGAAAGACCAGAUGAAAACCUGCCCUUUGCCUCCCUAGGGAAAAGCAGAACACCAUGUGCCAUUUGAGCUACAAAAGCCUGUUUGUCAACCAGUCAAAGUGUCCAGAUUCCCUCUGCCCAAGGGCCCCGUUGCCUGGGCCCAUGUUCACUUGCCAUCUCAAACCGUCUAGCACUUUCUGUCCACAUGUCCUGCCCAGAGCCACCCUAGACUGCCCACUGGCUCAUAGCUACCAUAUGCCUUGCUUUUCUGAAAAGCCAAAGGGCUCAUUUAUUUACUCAGAGGUUCAAAUCUCCCAGAGCAGAUGCUUUGAGAGAAGGUGCAGCCUGGCAGUCCCGCUUGCCGGAGUGGUGUUUGCUGCAGCUGGGCACACACACCACAGUCCUUGCGAUGCCUUCUCCAGGUCCACAGCCAUGACUGGUAAGAGUGCCAGAGGCCAGGAGACCCAGCUCUCAUCCUUCCCUAAGGGAAAAGCCAGCACUUCUUCACAUCCUAAAAGUAAUGUUUGGUUUCCCAUCUCAUUGAUGUGGGAGCCGGGGUCUUACCCUGCAAGCGCUGUAUAGUCACGUCUCCUAGUCCUUAAUUGCUAAGAUGCUGCCAUACUCUGGGGCUGGCUUGUGGAGAUGCAGGCUAGAUGGGCAGCCACCUCCUGGAGGCAGCAUCUCUGAAGGAUGCUGAGAGCAGACAGCACCAGGUCAGGUCUGUGGACCACUACACCCUCUGCUGCAGAAAUGAAGACACGUCCUCGAUGCUUUUUAGUGUUGCAGCCAGGAUCAACUCGCUACUCCCCAUGGUGCAUCUUUCACGUCCUUUUUGCUACAUCUGGCAUGGAGCUGUGUGUUGUAGAAUCACUGAACGCAAAAGGUUCUCCUGGAUGAGUUUAUCUGUAGUUAACUUUUAAGAAUAAUAAUGGUGAUAAUAAAGCUCCUGCAUU